rnacentral:rRNA from 1 species
GAUGAACGCUGGCGGCGUGCCUAAUACAUGCAAGUAGAACGCUGAAGGAGGAGCUUGCUCUUCUGGAUGAGUUGCGAACGGGUGAGUAACGCGUAGGUAACCUGCCUGGUAGCGGGGGAUAACUAUUGGAAACGAUAGCUAAUACCGCAUGACAACAGUUAUUGCAUGAUAACUGUUUAAAAGGGGCAACUGCUCCACUACCAGAUGGACCUGCGUUGUAUUAGCUAGUUGGUGAGGUAACGGCUCACCAAGGCGACGAUACAUAGCCGACCUGAGAGGGGGAUCGGCCACACUGGGACCGAGACACGGCCCAGACUCCUACGGGAGGCAGCAGUAGGGAAUCUUCGGAAAUGGACGGAAGUCUGACCGAGCAACGCCGCGUGAGUGAAGAAGGUUUUCGGAUCGUAAAGCUCUGUUGUAAGAGAAGAACGAGUGUGAGAGUGGAAAGUUCACACUGUGACGGUAUCUUACCAGAAAGGGACGGCUAACUACGUG